UACAGAGGGUGCGAGCGUUGUCCGGAAUCACUGGGCGUAAAGGGCGCGUAGGUGGCGAGCCAAGUCCAUGGUGAAAGCUCGAUGCUCAACAUCGAGUCGGCCACGGAUACUGGUGCGCUUGAGCACUGUAGAGGCUAAUGGAAUUCCGGGUGUAGCGGUGGAAUGCGUAGAGAUCCGGAAGAACACCGGUAGCGAAGGCGGUUAGCUGGGCAGUUGCUGACACUGAGGCGCGACAGCGUGGGGAGCAAACAGG
rnacentral:rRNA from 1 species